GCCGGGAUAGCUCAGUUGGUAGAGCAGGGGAUUGA
rnacentral:tRNA from 4 species